rnacentral:rRNA from 1 species
GUGGGGAAUAUUGGACAAUGGGCGAAAGCCUGAUCCAGCCAUGCCGCGUGUGUGAAGAAGGUCUUCGGAUUGUAAAGCACUUUAAGUUGGGAGGAAGGGCAGUAAGUUAAUACCUUGCUGUUUUGACGUUACCGACAGAAUAAGCACCGGCUAACUUCGUGCCAGCAGCCGCGGUAAUACGAAGGGUGCAAGCGUUAAUCGGAAUUACUGGGCGUAAAGCGCGCGUAGGUGGUUUUGUAAGUUGGAGGUGAAAUCCCCGGGCUCAACCUGGGAACUGCCUCGAAAACUGCAUGACUAGAGUACGGUAGAGGGUAGUGGAAUUUCCUGUGUAGCGGUGAAAUGCGUAGAUAUAGGAAGGAACACCAGUGGCGAAGGCGACUACCUGGACUGAUACUGACACUGAGGUGCGAAAGCGUGGGGAGCAAACAGGAUUAGAAACCCUGGUAGUCC